ACCCCGCUGUCCUCAACCCCGUUGACAGAUCGGCGCGCGGAGGGAGCAGGGCGAAGGCGAGGGCGAAGAGGAGCAGGGCGAGGGCGAAGAGGAGCAGGGCGAGCUCUGGAGUAGCCCCGUCGUGGAUCUGGUGGCCUCUCCGCGCAGAGGGCGAGGGCGUCGGAUUGGCGGCGUGGAUCUCCCUUCCCUCGCUCUGAAAGGUAUCUUAGGGUUCUCGCAGUGAAACUCACAGUGAAAUUUCAACAUCCAGUAGCCUGAAGUUGUCAUCCAUUAAAGUACUUGACACUCAUCCUGCACAGUGAAAUUUCAACAUCCAGUAAAGUAUACACUCGAAAUUUUCAUGGGUAUGAGACUAGUUGGAUUACAAGAUGAGUGAAAUUACUUGACACUCAUCUUUAGGGACCUUGUUCUUAGGGUUCUCUCUGUUCUUAAGUUGCAGCCUGAAGUUUACUUGACACUCAUCUUUAGGGACCUUGUCUGGAAUUUUCAUGGGUAUGUACAUUACUUGCAGCCUGAAGUUGUUUGUUACUGUUGUUGUAGCCUGAAUCACAUGUCGCGUGCGAGUAGUUCGUCGAACAGACGACAUCAAUGGCCUCAGUAUGGGACAGUGCCACUUAUGCGCUGCCCCGAGUGUGAACGGCCAGAGCCUCUUUUGCGGCUCACAUCGAGGAAAACUGAGAAUGGCAACUAUGGUCGUGAGUUCGUGAAGUGCCCAUGGAAGGAUUUGCGAAAAUGUGACUUCUUCAUGUGGCUGGAUGAUUAUAUGAAGAUGAUAGAAGCAGAAGGGUUGGCGGGUGGUCCAAAUGAAUACAUUGGGCACCAACAUGUGGCAACUGCUAACGCGAAAGCAAUUAGUGACCUGAUCGCUGAAGUUAAGAAGGUGAAUCACAACUUGAGCGAGAUGAAGAAGAUUGUUGGAGCUUUUUGCGCUACUAUGAUUUUAAUUUCCUCGCUUUUCUUUGUGAUGAAAUGUAAUUGAAAGCAUUUAAUUUGAAGUGUGGCAGGUUUGUGUGUUGUAUUGAUGUGUGAACUUUUCUAGUGCAUGCUAUGUAGUGAUUGGUGAUCUGUGUUGUAGUGAUCUGUGAACAAUAUAUGCUAGUCUGGCACUUUGUCUGGAAUAUUUGAGUCUGGCACUGUCUGGAAUAUUUGAGUUGGCAUGUUGUCUGGAAUAUAUGCUAGUGCAUGCUGUGUGAA